rnacentral:lncRNA from 1 species
AACAGGCCUGCCCUUAAUAGGCCACAGCUGUGUCCAAUAAGAAGAGGAGUGCUACAGAAGAGUGGGUUAGCUGGGUGAGGGGAGAGUUGGAGUAUGUUGGCUGUGCUGUGCAGAGAGUUGGAGUAUGUUGGCUGUGCUGUGAGGAAGAAGGAGUUAGUGCUUUGAAGAGUUGCCCAUGAGAAAUCACUAAGAAGAUCACACCAUCCAGUCUGUUUUCUGCUGCUGCUGCUGCUCAGUGCAAGAAAGAGAAAUGAGAACAAAAGUGAACCUGGAGCCUGACACUGUCCUGGUGACCCAGUACUCUGCCUCACAACCAGAUGUUUCCUAUGAAUCUAUUUGGAAGUGUGGGCACAAGAGACAAUUGCAAUUUAAGGACAAGCCAUUACCUC